CACGGGAGGCGGGGUUCUACGCCCCGCCCACAGGCGAAGCUGGAGUCGGGCCGCCCCUCACGGCUCCGCAGCUGGGUGGGCUCCGAGCCCGGGCCGGGCACAUCUGGAGGAUCCCAGCUGAAACAAGGGGCGCCUUCCGCAUCCCGACCAUAUCUGGAAGGCCCCCGACUCCAGCCAGGCGAUUCCAGCCGCGUCUGGGCCUAUCCCGCACUCGCUGCCUCACAUCUGGGUGCUUGUAUGUUCCUACCCCGGGCACAUCUGGAUGAGCCCCCAGUUCCCAUCCCAGCCACAUGUGGGCUACUCAACUUCAGUCCUCCGCCAUCCCCUGGCCACAUCUGGGCGGUUCCUCCCUCAUUCUGACCCUGCAACCCCUGCACCCUCCUCCCCCAGCUCCCCCCCUCCUCUCUUCAACAUUUGGGCUGCUGCGCCCUUAAACCAUAGUUUAAUAUGAAAUAUAACAAAAAAAAUGAAGAAAUAGAAUGAAAUCUACUUUAUUCCUUUUUGCAGGCAAAUCCUGCCCCGUAUUCCUGCUCUGAACCUUUGUCGCCGACCACAAGAAGGUCCCUGAGUUUUACGUGGGCCACAAUGAAAUUAUGACCAUCCUGGGUUUCUGCGCCUCAGCACUCCCAAGAAAUUGUGAAUGACGGAGCCAUGGGGGUGUCAAAAGCCAGCGAGGUGAAGAGCAGCAGCAGGUGGGUACCAUGGGGCAUGGCAGGGAAUUUUGGAGGGGCUCCUGCUUUGUUAUCCCACUGGUUUUCCUAGGAGUUUCAUGCUCAAGCAGAGAAAUUGCUCCAGAAUUCCUUUUGGGAAGCAUUUUUUGGUGCUGCUGGGCAUAAGGAUUAGGAAGUAUGGCAUCAUGCCAUGGUUUGUGGUUACCACCAAGGGGUUGGUUUCAGUGGGAUCAAUUCUUCCUUAUCCCAGGAAGCGAAAGAAUGAGUUGGAAAACGAGCAGGACAAGCCAAAGGAGCUGGAAUGCACAGAGAAGCCUUCCACGGUAAAAGGGAAGAAGAAAGAAAAAUCAAAAGCCAAGGAAAAGCCACUGCAGGAGAACAUCAUCAGCAGCUCCCUGGAGCAGGAGGCUGUGGAUGGGAUCAGCCUUGGCUCGAGCCUCUGGAAUGGGAUCCAAGCUGAGGAGGGAGCUGCACCUGGGUCGGAGGAGACCAAAGCAACCUCCCCUCAAGGGCCAGCAGUGGGGCUGGAAGGCCCUUCCAGGUGAGUUGGGUAAUUUUUUUGAUUAUUUUUCUUCCAGGGAACUGGAAUUUUGUCCUUUUUUUUCCCUUCUCCCUGUGGAGCUGCACAAUCCUGGUUUUCCCUCCUGGAUCGCUGGUGCCUUCCUGGAGCAUCUUCUCCACAUCCUGGUGUUUUCAGUGACUUUAAAGCUUUC
rnacentral:lncRNA from 1 species